rnacentral:rRNA from 1 species
UUUAAAGAGAGUUUGAUCCUGGCUCAGGACGAACGCUGGCGGCGUGCCUAAUACAUGCAAGUCGAACGAACGGAGGAAGAGCUUGCUCUUCCAAAGUUAGUGGCGGACGGGUGAGUAACACGUGGGCAACCUGCCUGUAAGUUGGGGAUAACUCCGGGAAACCGGGGCUAAUACCGAAUGAUAAAGUKUGGCGCAUGCCACGCUUUUGAAAGAUGGUUUCGGCUAUCGCUUACAGAUGGGCCCGCGGUGCAUUAGCUAGUUGGUAGGGUAAUGGCCUACCAAGGCAACGAUGCAUAGCCGACCUGAGAGGGUGAUCGGCCACACUGGGACUGAGACACGGCCCAGACUCCUACGGGAGGCAGCAGUAGGGAAUCUUCCGCAAUGGACGAAAGUCUGACGGAGCAACGCCGCG